GACGAACGCUGGCGGCGUGCUUAACACAUGCAAGUCGAGCGGAUCAGCGGACGGGUGAGUAACGCGUGAGUAACUGCCCCCCUCUCUGGGAGAACAUUUGGAAACGGCAGCUAAUCCCGUAUCGUGGGGGAUGACUCGCCUCCUAUCAGCUUGUUGGUGGGGUAGUGGCAGACUAAGGCGGCGACGGGUAGCCGGCCUGAGGGGGCGACCGGCCAGAUUGGGCGGAGAGAGGGCCCAAACGCCGACGGGAGGCAGCAGUGGGGAAUAUUGCACAAUGGGGGAAACCCUGAGGCAGCAACGCGCGUGUGGGAUGACGGCCUUCGGGUUGUAAACCGCUUUCAGCCAGGACGCGGUAGUGGCAGAAGAAGCACCGGCUAACUACGUGCCAGCAGCCGCGGUAAUAC
rnacentral:rRNA from 1 species